GCGUUGGUGGUUUAGUGGUAAAAUUGAUCGUUGCCAUUCUCGAACAUUUCACACGGUUCGAACAUUAUCUCGAUCAGCCCCGGGUUCGAUUCCCGGCCGACGCA